UACGUAGGGGGCAAGCGUUGUCCGGAUUUAUUGGGCGUAAAGAGCGUGUAGGCGGUUUGGUAGGUCCGCUGUGAAAACUCGAGGCUCAACCUCGAGACGCCGGUGGAAACCAUCAGACUAGAGUCCGGAAGAGGAGAGUGGAAUUCCUGGUGUAGCGGUGAAAUGCGCAGAUAUCAGGAAGAACACCCGUGGCUAAGGCGGCUCUCUAGUACGGUACUGACGCUGAGACGCGAAAGCGUGGGGAGCAAACGGG
rnacentral:rRNA from 1 species